CUCUGCAUGCUCAACCUUCUGUUUAUAAUUUCAGCUUCUUUUUGAAGAUCAACAAUCAUUAGGCCCUCAAUCAAGUUUAAUUUUUCAGCACUUCAUAAGAAAAAGAUGAGGUGUAGUCACAUCAGUUCUGACAUCAGGGAGGAGCUUCAUGAACUCUAAUCAUGUUAACUGGUUAGAGCACAGAAUAUCUUCAUUCAGCUAAAACCAUUCAUCAUGUUCACUGUUAUAUU